ensembl:lncRNA
GCCCUCCCCGCCCCCUCCCUCCGCUGCGGCCCCCACCCCCUCACCUGCGCGCACCACCCGCAGCCUCGGCCCCCACAUUCCGCGAAGGGCCCCUCUGAGAGUCCAGUUGGCUUCAAAAAGUAAAAUAUGCGCGACACGAGAACAGAAAUUGAAUGCAAGGUCGGGACUAUUUUCCCCUUCGCGCGGAGGAUUACAGCCACAGUUUGAAUGGGUUCUAUACAAAGAGGGGAAACUAAUUGGAAGAAACUAAUUGCGCCCCCACCUUUCCCAAGGGAUUUGGCGGCGGCUCAGCGCCGCGGGUCCCCGUUGCAGGGGACAGGGUUCCCAGCCCUUGGUAGUGGAGGAGGGUCAACUUCCUCCCAGGCAAGAGCCACUUUUCCGGAUCUGCUGCCUGCCCUGCCUCCCCUGAUCCACGCCGAGCACCCAGCAAGGGAGAGCACGACCCAGCUCGAGACAUCCCUGCCUGAAGUGUGAUCACCCACCAGCCCGGGGGCUGCUUUACCGCUGGAUGGGGGUUUGGGGGGAGCGUGGGACUCCCCUGGAAGUCCUCGUCAGUCCUACCUCCACCACCACCCCCCCCCCCCAAACAGCGCACUGCUCCUGCAUAAUUAGGAGACAAGAGAAGGUCUAUAAAUAAUUUUUUUAAUGCAACGGAUAGCUUUUAAGUUACUUUUAAGUUGCUUCAAACCUGAGCUGCAUAAGGGGACAGUUUACACCAGCUCAAGAUAUAAAUAGCUACAGGGAGAAAUCUGGAGUUUUAUGUUUUUAAAACCUUAAUAAGCAGAGUGUUCUCUAACACAUUUUAUGCAGGAUGAACCAUCAUUAUUAACUUCAAUGAUGUGACCACGAUCACUUCUGCCUCAAUGGCUAGGAGCCCUCCCGGAGGAGGAGCCGGCUGGCACCAAGUUCAGGGUCUCAUCUCCAGGACUCCCCUUAAAAGGAUGCCCCUCUCAUUAGAGCACCCCAGGCGGUACAGAUGUGUGCCCUUGGGAUACUCCUCCACCAGCUGGCCUGGGUAGGGUCCAGACGGCAAAGCCCAGGGUUAGGAACCAGAGGAGGCAUUCUGGGGCUGGGCCACCUGGCUGAGGGCCUCUGUGACUCAUCUGGAGGUGAGCACUGUGUAAGGAAUGAGGUUAACACCACUCUGCCCUGCUCACUUGGUGUCCUAUGAAGUUCUACCAUCAGACCCUGGAAUGAUUAGCCUACAACAGCGCAAAGGUGAUACUGAGUCAUUUAUUAGGGCAGCAAGGACAGCAUGACACGGGUCAUGAGUGCCACCCACCAAACCCCAAGGUUGGGCUACUUCCUGGCUGUGGUUACAUCUUUUGACUGUCCAACCAUUCACUUUUUUCAACAAAUAUUAACACCUAAGUUACUUCAACAUAUGCCAGGCCCCUUUCUAGUUUGAACCCAAAGCCACAUGGAUACCAUACUGACCUUGACCCUCCCAGCUUCCUCAUCAAACACAGAUAAUAGUUAACUACUUCCUGGCCUAAUGGAUUUUUAUAGAGUCUACCUCCCCGGCCCUGAUCUUCCUCCACCGUAGGGAACCCUGCAAUUUUAUGAAAAGCCCCUUCCUGCCCCUACCUAUUGUGUGGGAUAUCCACACGACUCUUGUGAUUGGGAAUUUGUGACCUCAGACUUCAAACUGGCCCGCCACACAGUCAGCAGCCCGACCAUGUUUUUCAGUGACACUCUCUCCCACUCUCUGAGACCCAUAUAUCCCACCUUCUCUCCUUUCCUUAUACCUCCCACAGCUCCUCUGCCCUCCGCCCUCACUCGGAGCCAAUGACCUCUCCCUUAUUCUUCAGCGAGAAAUCUGAGGCCAUCAAAUAGCAUCUCUCCUCUUCUGGCCUCCAGACUGGCCCAAGUCCCCACCUACCACACACACCCCCACCGCCGCCCCCCCUCCCCCCCACCACCUCCGCUUUAGUCUCUCCCACUGUGAUCUUGAUCUCAGGCACCCACUUCCCACUGCCCUCCCCUUGCUGGUCUCCUGUGCCCUCAAGCUCUCUCUUUCCCCUGAGUCAGCAUUUUCCAAAGAAAGGGAAUAACUCUCCCUUGCUCCCAAGUCCCAUGAACCUCCUCCCCAUUUCUUUACUAACCCCACAGAAACCUCCAAAGAUGUGUCUAUACCUGCCUUCUCCACCCCCUUCCUUCCUUCCUAGUCUUUCCUUACCCCACCCUAGGAAGGCUGUGUCCCUACUCUUAACUCUUGCUGAGGUCACUCACAACCUCCAGGCUGCUGAAGCCAGCAUUUCCUGGUUUCCCUGAGCUCUUCUUCCACAGCACCUGAGUCCACUACUCCAUCUUCUGGAAACUCCCUGACCUUUCUAGACCUCAGGAUGCCUGGUUCUCCUACCCCACAGGCCACUCCCUUUCCGGUCCCCUUGCAACCUCCAUCCCCUCCCUGGUUCCAGGCUCUGUGCAUGAUGCAUAGCAGGUGCUCAUUAAAAAUGUGUUGAGUGAAAAGUGGAUGAUAGAGGAUACAGAGUGCUGUUGGUGCACAGAGCAGGAGCCAAUCCCGGUGAGGGGAAAAUUCCUGAAACAAGAGAGAGGUCUGACCAACACUUGAUACAAGCCCUACAAGAGGGGGAAAGGCCUUUGAAUUUUAUCAGCCCGGCAUCUCCUCAGCAUAAGCUCCUCCCCAACAUCCUCCUUCAGGAGUUUGGCUGGGGGGGGGGGGCGGGGGGAAGAACCUGACAAGCACGUGACCCAGGCCUGGCUAAUCAGACCUCCCCAGCCCCUUGGCUGUGGUGAGUGCCUCAGGCAUUGGCACAUGACCGAGCCAGGCCAAUCACUGCCCUUUCCAGAACUUUUUCAGACCCUCUUAGGAGAAAGCCUGUCUCUAAGACCCAGAAAAGCUUGGAGCCUCUCGGAGAGGACCUUGAUUGGAGCAGGUGGGCCAGGUUCCCAGGACUUGUGCUCAGGUGCCCUGUGGUAUGUGGCCCGGGCUAGUCUAGGCCCUGCUCAAGGGAGCAACCCCUCCCCAACCAGCCUGUGGAAGGAGGAGAGCUGAGGCCUGAUGGGAAGUUUUGAAUUCUUCUCCUCCCUACACCCUAUCAACCAGGCCUAAAAUGCUGCCCUUUAAAGUUGAGCAUUUGGGGGCACCUGCGUGGCUUAGUUAAGUGUCUGACUUCAGCUCAGAUCAUGAUCUCGCCGUCUGUGAGUUCAAGCCCCGCAUCGGGCUCUGUGCUGACAGCUCAGAGCCUGAAGCCUGCUUCCGACUCUGUGUCUCCCUCUCUCUCUGCCCCUCCCCUGCUUGCGCUGUCUCUCUCUCUCUCUCAAAAAAUAAACAGUAAAAAACAAAAAAAACA